rnacentral:rRNA from 1 species
GUUAAUUAGUGGCCAGGAGCCGCGGUAAUACGUAGGGGCGGAGCGUGGGCCGGAAGCAUUGGGCGUAAAGAGCGUGUAGGCGGCCACUUAAGUGCUGCGUGAAAUCUUGCGGGUCAACCGCAAGCGGUCGUGGGAAACUGGGUGGCUAGAGUGCGGGAGAGGAGAGUGGAAUUCCUGAUGUAGCGGUGGAAUGCGCAGAUAUCAGGAAGAACACCCGUGGCGAAGGCGGCUCUCUGGAACGCAACUGACGCUGAGACGCGAAAGCGUGGGGAGCAAACAGGAUUAGAUACCCCAGUAGUC